UACGAAGGGGGCUAGCGUUGUUCGGAAUUACUGGGCGUAAAGCGUAUGCAGGCGGAUCGUUAAGUCGGGGGUGAAAUCCCGAGGCUCAACCUCGGAACUGCCUUCGAUACUGGCGAUCUUGAGUCCGGGAGAGGUGAGUGGAACUCCGAGUGUAGAGGUGAAAUUCGUAGAUAUUCGGAAGAACACCAGUGGCGAAGGCGGCUCGCUGGACCGGUUCUGACGCUGAGGCGCGAAAGCGUGGGGAGCAAACAGG
rnacentral:rRNA from 1 species